rnacentral:rRNA from 1 species
UACGGAGGGUGCAAGCGUCGUUCGGAAUUACUGGGCGUAAAGCGCGUGUAGGCGGCCUUGCAAGUCAGAUGUGAAAGCCCUCGGCUUAACCAAGGAAGUGCAUCUGAAACUGCUUGGCUUGAGUACGAGAGAGGGAGGCGGAAUUCCCAGUGUAGAGGUGAAAUUCGUAGAUAUCGGGAGGAACACCUGUGGCGAGGCGACCCCCUGGUUGGAUACUGACGCUGAUACGCGAAAGCGUGGGGAGCAAACAGG